ACCACUUUAAUACGAUGUAAAAAGUAAACAUUAAGUAUAUUUAAAUAUGGAUUUCCUAGAUAAUACUCCAGUUUAAAAUUUUAAAACAUACAUGAAAAUGUAAUUUAGAUAACUUAAUAAUUUAGGUAAAUUAGGUGCCAGCAACCGCGGUCAUACCUAAUAUGUUAGUUUACUAUUAGUAGUAAGUAGUAAGAACAUUUUAGAUAUUAAUGAUAAGUAGUGAAAUACUAUCAUAAUUCAACACUUCUAAUAUUAUUAACAAAUAAACCCCUAAAAAAAACUAGGAUUAGAGACCCUACUAUUAAGGAUUUAAAUAAUUAUUUACUAAGGAGUAAUACUACAAUUUUAAACUUAAAUGUUAUGGCGGCUAAUUAAAACAAUUAGGGGAACUUACCAUGUAAUUGAUAGCCACCAAGCUUAAACCCACUUACUAUAAUAAUUUGUAUACCGUUGUCUUCAUAAACCCCUUUAAGGGGUUUAGAUUAAAUAUAAGCUAUUAAAAGACAAAUCAAGGUGCAGUCAAUUAGUAAGAAUUAAGGUGAGUUACAAUAAUUUUUAUUUUCGGAAUGAAACAUGAAAUAUUUCAAGAAGAUGGACUUAAAAGUAAUUCAUAAAUAAAUAUUUAUUAAAGGAAUAUGUUUUGCUUAGCGUA
rnacentral:rRNA from 1 species